rnacentral:tRNA from 2 species
GGGUGUGUAGCUCAGCUGGUUAGAGUGCGGCUCUGAUAAAGCCGAGGUCGGAGGUUCGAGUCCUCCCACACCCA